rnacentral:rRNA from 1 species
AUGAACGCUAGCGGCAGGCCUAACACAUGCAAGUCGAGGGAGGAGCUUUCGGGCUUCGACCGGCGUACGGGUGCGUAACGCGUAUACAAUCUGCCUUUCACAUAGGGAUAGCCCGAAGAAAUUUGGAUUAAUACCUAAUGGUAUAUAGGAGUGGCAUCACAUUUAUAUUAAAGCUGAGGCGGUGAAAGAUGAGUAUGCGUUCUAUUAGCUAGUUGGAGAGGUAACGGCUCCCCAAGGCGACGAUAGAUAGGGGUUCUGAGAGGGAUAUCCCCCACACUGGUACUGAGAUACGGACCAGACUCCUACGGGAGGCAGCAGUGAGGAAUAUUGGACAAUGGUCGGAAGACUGAUCCAGCCAUGCCGCGUGCAGGAAGACGGCCUUAUGGGUUGUAAACUGCUUUUGCAGGGGAAGAAUAAGGACUACGAGUAGUUUGAUGACGGUACUCUGCGAAUAAGCAUCGGCUAACUCCGUG